GCCGUUGUAGCUCAGUGGUAGAGCAUCCCGCUUUGAGCGGGAAGGUCGUAAGUUCUUUAAAUGAUA
rnacentral:tRNA from 1 species